rnacentral:piRNA from 1 species
UGAUUGAUUGUGACUUUUAAUUCC